UGUAUCCGUCGACGUUGGCGCCGUACUUGUCAACGAACUGGUACACGCCCUUGCCCUGCAUCCACCCAAAAAAAAAAUGAAAAUUUUCAGUUUAUGCGCCAUGAAGAAUCACCAAAUUUCCACUGAAAUCUUCCGGUGAAUUCAGUGACUAGAUUCUUGUGCUCCAAACGGUUUCGAGUCAGAAAGAAAUUAAGCGGAAGAGGCCCUCCUCACCUUGACCUUCCUCCCGGAGGCAUCGACGUCGACGGUCAGGCCACCCCCAAUCCCGAAGGGCUUGUCGGUCUUGAUCUUCUUGCCGGUGCCGCAGACGACGGCGAAGGAGGAGGCGCGGCGGCCGAGGGACGGCAGGCCCUGGGCCCUGGCCGGCGCCGCCAGAGUCGACGAGGAGAUCAUGGAGGCUGCCAUUGCUGCUGUAGCUGUAGCUGUAGCUGCUUCGGUUCACUCGCUCUUGCUGCUAUGCCUGCCGGAUGCAGAGCCUCCAGGAAGCUACACGGAGCCAAUAUACUUGUGGCGCCAAAACCUGUGGAUAAUGCCAGGAGGACAGGUGCGACCGCCGUGGCGCCACGUGGCGGGGCACGGUUGGCC
rnacentral:lncRNA from 1 species